UACGUAGGUGGCGAGCGUUGUCCGGAUUUACUGGGUCGUAAAGAGCGCGCAGGCGGUCAAGUCAGUCGAAUGUGAAAGCCCCCGGCUCAACUGGGGAGGGUCAUUCGAUACUGCUCGACUUGAAGGCAGGAGAGGGAAGUGGAAUUCCCGGUGUAGUGGUGAAAUGCGUAGAUAUCAGGAGGAACACCCGUAGCGAAGGCGGCACUCUGGGCCGAUACUGACACUGAGGAGCGAAAGCGUGGGGAGCGAACAGG
rnacentral:rRNA from 1 species